GACGAACGCUGGCGGCGUGCCUAAUACAUGCAAGUAGAACGCUGAAGGAGGAGCUUGCUUCUCUGGAUGAGUUGCGAACGGGUGAGUAACGCGUAGGUAACCUGCCUGGUAGCGGGGGAUAACUAUUGGAAACGAUAGCUAAUACCGCAUAAUAGCAGUUGUUGCAUGAUAACUGUUUGAAAGGUGCAAUUGCACCACUACCAGAUGGACCUGCGUUGUAUUAGCUAGUUGGUGGGGUAACGGCUCACCAAGGCGACGAUACAUAGCCGACCUGAGAGGGUGAUCGGCCACACUGGGACUGAGACACGGCCCAGACUCCUACGGGAGGCAGCAGUAGGGAAUCUUCGGCAAUGGAGGGAAGUCUGACCGAGCAACGCCGCGUGAGUGAAGAAGGUUUUCGGAUCGUAAAGCUCUGUUGUAAGAGAAGAACGAGUGUGAGAGUGGAAAGUUCACACUGUGACGGUAUCUUACCAGAAAGGGACGGCUAACUACGUG
rnacentral:rRNA from 1 species